rnacentral:lncRNA from 1 species
CUUGCUAAGAUGUAUAAGACUGAAUCAGAUAAGUGUUGGCGAUGCAAUGAGGCUGAGGAAUGUUCUUUCAUGUGGUGGGGACCUGUAAAAGAGUAUUGGAAAAUAAUCCAUAAUGAAUUUGGAGGGGGGGAGUUUAAAAGCACUUUUCAAAAAAAAAAUAGCCCGUCCUUUUUGUUGGGGAUAAUUCAGAUGGAAAUUCCCAGGUGUUAAAAAGGGUAAUUUAUGUAUGCCGCUACGGCGCCUGUGUUUUGUUGGCCCCAAACUGGAAAACGAGCGACGUCACAACCAAAGAAGAAUGGCAGCUUAAACUGAAGCACUGCUUCAAUGCACAGCUUGCAGACUUAACAUUGGAUAAGAAAACAAGAACAUAGGUAUAGAGAAGACUGAAAAAUGUUUAUUGAAUAUAUGGGGGUGGGGGAGAUUGUGUACACUUGAAAACGUGGGCAACAUUAAGAUAAAUUCAACAGUGUAAGUUUUGAUGGGUGCAAUAAUGGAAUACUGAAAGCUUUAAAUAUUUAAAAUAUGCAGGGAUUUAUGUUCUGAAAAAAUGGACCGUGGAAAGAGAAGGGAAGUCACUGGUAUUUUAAGAUUGUUUAAAUGAAUAUUCUAAAUUGUAAAACGGACAAUUUAACACCAAUUAUAUAUUAAAGAAAAUAAAGUUUUAUUUCAUAUGUUUAUGUUGUGAACCGCCUUGGGAUCUUCGGAGGAAGGGGCGGCAGGCGACCCCUCCUCCAUCCCUCGCUUCUCCUCAGCGCCGUGUUAGGGCGCGAGGGCCCCGCUCGGCCGCCACGACCACCUGAGGCGGUUCCCGGCCUCCAGGCCUCGCCCGCUUCCCUGGAAGCGCCAAGGCGGGAAUGGAGGGGAGGCGUCGCCGCCCCCUUGCAAGGCCCGGCCUCGGCCAGAGGACGUCGCCCUCUCCCUGAAGGCGGCCUUGAAGGAGGAGGAGCCGCCGCCGCCACAGCAGCAGCAGCAGAAGAGGCAGCAGCGGCCGCCGCCAGAGGCCGGGAUUGUUUCCUGGGGAAAGCGCAGCAGGCUGGGAAAGCGUUUCCGGAAGGCAGGCGGGCGGGCGGGCAGGCAGGCAGGCUGCAUCCCGCAGCUGGGCUCCGAAGAGCGGCGGGGACCGGCCGGAGGAGGAGCAGCGGUGGCGGCGGCGGCGGCCGAGCGGGUAAGUCUGGGCGGGCGACUCCUCGCCCCUUUCUGCGCGGCGCUUCGCCCUCCGAAGGCGGCGGGGAGACACAGGGAGGCGGCGCAUCUUGCCCCUGCCAGCUGCCACAUCUGCAGCAGCGCGGCUGGAUCGGGAAGGCGGCAGGGUCCUGCUCCGGCAAGAGGCGGCUCGGGGGGCGGCGUUGGGCACGGACCCCCGGCUCGCCCCGGGCUCCAGGAGAAGUUGCGGGCACGAAAUGCCUUCCGUGCGUUGCUGCUGCUUCUGCAGCCGAUCUCGAGUUGCAAGGAGCAAACUCCGGUGUGUGCCUGCGCGGGGGUGGGGAAGGGCACCCCCCCAAUCCGCAUUGGACUCCGAAUGCGGGAUCCGCAUUGGACUCGGGAUAUUUCUGGGCGGCGGUGCCUGCGGAUGGUGGGAUCGGCGGCAGAGGAGAAGUCGAGGGAGGGGAAUCGGGGGCGAGCUGGGCAGGAAGGGAAAUGCAAAAAAAUAAAUGCAAGGGAAGGGGGUCGGAGGUGGGGGGCUGCCUGGGGUCGUCUUUGUGCAUGGAGCUGCUCCACGCCCUGGUUUGGCCCUUGCUGCGUGUCCCUUGCUGGCAUCCCCGGCCCCGUCCUUCCCCCAACCUUUUGCCAGGCUGCGGUGCCUGCGUCUCUCCUCCCAGGGCCUAAGGAAGCCGAGUGCUGCACUCGCCGUGGGCAUGCACAUUGUCUCCGUUAUGCGCUAUGAGCAUUGCUCUUCUCUCGGAUGCUUCGGUGGGGUCUCCUCCUUUCCUCCGGGGACUGUGAUGCCGCAUCCUUAGGGACACCCCGAGGGAGACGCGUGGUUGCAAUGCGAUGAGCUGUCAGAGGAUCUGAUGCAUAUCCGAUGCAAGGCUGUAGGAAGCCUGCUUCUAAGGACAUGGGUUUGGAUGAACAGAUGAGGUGGUGGAGGCAGGCGACCUUCAUUGCUGGAGCCCCCAUAUACUGGCUCCUUCCCCUCCCCUUUUUAUAUUUUUUUUAUACAUUACUACAAUUAUUCAACAAACAUUCUGACAUUUCAAACUUCAGCUCCCUUCCUCCUCUUUCUGCGGUUCUUUGCAUUUAUUUUCAUCAUUUCCUGCAUACUCCAAAUUAUAUUAACAUAUUCUUCAGUUCUUCUAUUGUCAUAUCUAUUUCAUAUACAUUUUUGAAACUGCAGGUUUUUACAAUAAUCAGUAAAACACUUCCAUUCCUUUCUAAAGAGUUUAUUGUCUUGAAUUUUCUGGUAAGUUUUGCCAUUUCUGCAUACUCCAUUAAUUUUUGUAGCCAUUCUUCUCUUGUCGGGACUUCUUUCCAUAUUUGGGCAAAUAACAUCAUUGCAGCUGUAGUUGCAUACAUAAAUAAAUUUCUGUGCUGCUUUGGUAGUUCUGAUCCCAUAAUUCCCAAGAGAAAAGCUUUUGGGUUUUUUUUACAAACGUUAUCUUAAACAUCUUUUUCAAUUCAUUAUAUAUUAUUUCCCAGUAAGCUUUAACCUUACCACAAGACCACCACAUAGGAAAAAGGUACCUUCUUUUUCUUUACAUUUCCAGCACUUAUUAAAUUUUGAUUUAUACAUUUUUGCCAGUCUGCUAGGUGUUAGGUACCAUCUACAGAACAUUUUCAUGUAAUUUUCUCUUAAACCAUAACAUACUGUAAAUGUUAUAUCCAUAUUCCUUUCCUUCCCUUUUUAAUCAAACUUUGCAUAUAAAACUUUGCAGGGCCAAGUGCAGUAUCAUCUAUACACCAUUCUAGACGUAAAAAAUUAGCAUAUGCAAAUUUGUGCCAUAAGCCUGCACCUUUAAGUACCUGGUUGAAGCAGUGCCUCUGUUCUAUGAAGGAACGAAAGAUGGCUAAUUUUCAAACAAGGGGAAGCAGAAUGCCAUUGUUGCGUAGCUAAAGUCCUGGUAGUUUGUUGGUUUUCCAGGCACUUUUAAUUCCUUUCUCCAAGGUACAGAAAAUGCAAAGGCAGCUGUGUUGAUCCAUAAAGUGAAAAUCCCCAAAUCCACAGUCGGACAACACUUUUGUUAAGACUAGCGAAACAUUUUGGUUGGUCCCAAUAAAGGAAUUGCCCUACUGUGGUUCUUGGAACCCCUUUGACAUGCCAGAGGAUUGUGGCUAUGUAGAGUGAGAUUUAAACAGCAAGGCAGCUGUGGAAGGAAGUGACUUCUAGAAGAUGUUGUAGGUGUCCCCCGCUUUAUUUAAAAGAUCACAGAUCUAGAACUGUAGUCAAGGUUGUUUUCAGAUUUCAUUCAUCAGGAAAGAGAAAGGAAAAGGUCUCUGGCAUAUGUUCAGUCAAUAUUCUACCAGAAUGUUGAGUAAACAAGCAUUGGACUUCUUCAGUGUUCAGACAAUUAAUGCAAAGGCAUCAGUUGAAAGAGAAACAUGCAGGAUUGUAACAUUUUUAGUAAUAACAAAAAAAAAACUUGAAACAAAGUUAUAUUUCAGUGAGUGUUGCUUUUUUUGCAUUGAUUUAUAAUGCCUUUCCCCACUCCACUUUUUAGGCCUGACCACUAGUGUAACAUUUGGAAAGGGGGGGGGGAGUCUUUGUCAAUUGAGAGACAUGUUUUGUGGCGUCUGGGGCAGAUGAAGGCAUUCGGUUGUACCGCUGCGGAUGAACCAUGGCUUUUCUUCUCUCUGCCCUCCUCCCAUAUUUAAAUCCCGUCUUUAAAAAAUGAUAAAAAUUAUAUUUACCGUAUUUAAAAAUGGUAAAAAUAAUGGCAUAUAAAAAUAAAUUAUGGCAUAUUUUUAAAUGGUAAAAAUUAUCUGCUAGACUUCAUUAUUAGUUAAUUGAGCCAUGUAAGUGGGUUGGUUUCUUCUAGGCCUUGAAUCAUGCAUGUGGCUUCAGAAUGUUUUAUCAGCUUAUUGUUGUUUAAUGAGAUAUUUAAAAUAAUGUAAUGAAAAGGCAUGUUUGAAAUCUAAUACACAUUGAUGUGCCUGAUGGGAUACACUUUAGAGCUUUAAUUUAAGCCUGUGGAACGAUGGGAACUUGCUAAUUAAAAAGCAGAUUGUUUUCACUUUAGCGCCAUAGCCAGUAAUGUAGCUGCAUAAUAGACAUAUUCAAUCUGGAAAUAAAUUUGCAUCAUGAAUUGGAACUUAAGAUUCUUUCUUCUGUUUUCUAAAUUUUGAGGUGCUUCAUUACCUUUUAAUUUUUACCUGUGCUAAGGAAUAUUGGCUUUGCUGAGUUCACUUAUAUUGAAUGGUCAGGUUCUGGUGGACGACAAAUCUAAUUUAGAGCUGAAUAUUAUUUGUUUUAUCUUGAAAUGUAACAUCAUGGUGUAUUGCCUAAAUCUGUGGUGGCUUAGUUUGAUCAUGUUAGAAUUUGCUACGUGUGCAGUGCAAUCCUAAGCAUAUUUUCUCAGAAAUAAGUCGGGCUGUGUUCAAUGGGAGAUACGGUCAGAUACAUAUGCAGAGAAUUGCUGUCUUAAAUGCUGUUUGCUACACAUGCCAGGGACAAACAUUUGGGUUGCAACCCCCUAUGUGCUUACCUAGAAGUAAGUCUCUGCGUAGAAACAGAUAGGAUUGCACUGUAAUCAAACUUCUCUCUGAACAAUUUUACAUGACUUCAUUGUGUGGUUUUCUCUUUUCUCUUCCCCCAUCACUACUGGAAUCUGCUUUCCCCUCAGCAUUCCUGUUUGUCUCAACUGUGCUGCCUUUGCAACUUCUUUUCUCCUGCUGCUGUCACCACUCAGCCUUGGCCACUUGACAAGUCUUGGUAUCGUUGCUGCUUCACUCCCUCCACUGAUCUUGAACCUGGACAUUUAUCAGGACCCGUGUUCUGCUGUGUUGUCCAUUUCCAAGACAGUGUUAAUGUAUUUUAUUUUAUUUGUAUUUUAUCUUAUUAAGAUAGUUGCCUUGUUUGUCCUAGGCAGUAUUCUGAAGAUAUAUAGGAAGUCAAUGGACUGUCUGAGAUGUUUGAGUACAGUAGGACUUAGUAAGUGUGCUUAAGAUUUCAUCUUCUGUUUAAUAAUGCUGACUUGUCAUUGUAAUACUCCGUUAAAAUUCUUCAUGGCUCAUUGGCAGUUGUCUUAGAUUUGUUAAUUCCCAGAUCUGGAAUACAUGCUUGACAGUAAGUGGGGUCAAUUCAGGACAUCCUUGCACUAGAGCAACCUUUUCAAAACUAGUUUCUUCCAGAAGUUGUUGACUGCAUCUCCCCAUAACCGCAGACCAUUGACUACACUGGUUGGGAUGGAUGGAGGUAGGUGGGCACUGGAUUGAGGAAGACUGCACUAGAGGUCUAAAUUUGUAUUGUGCAGCAACCUACUGAAUUCAGCAGAAUUUAAUUCUGUGCAUUUGCUGCUGACCAGAUGUCCCCUGGAAUUCAGCAGCUGAACUCCAGACUCAUUUACUUGGAAUAAGAGGGUGCUAUGGUGUUAUGAAAACUUUUGAACAAGUGUAAUGAAUUCCUGAGUAACAGAUUCCUAAAGGGAAGCCAUGGUAGUUUGUUGAGCUUCUGACCACCCCUCUGCUAGAACAGAGCUAGGGAUGGAGCAACUUGUUCCAAAGUUGUGAUAUCCCUGUUCAUAAGCCUUGCAAUGCAGUUGGUACCUGGGUGCCUGCUCCUCAUGUUGCGUGUUCAUAGCUCAGUUCAUUAUUGAUGGUCGAGUUGACUUUCACUUCUUAGCUGAUCUUUCCUUCCAUAAAAUGUGAUAUUUUGCAGGCAUCUUGUGUUCUGCAUUUCUCACAUGGCAUGUAAGGGGUUACUUAAAAUUGAAUUGAUGGAACAGAGAUGCUGUGUAAACACCAGUGAUGUUUACUAAAAUGUAAGCAUUCUUUCUCUUUAUGUUGUUUGUAUAGUAUCCACUUUGGUAUAAGUAUUCUGUACAACUGAGAGAAAUAAAUUUGACUUGAAGGUAGUUAUUCAAAUGGGAAUCCUUAAUUAUAUAAGUCUUAAGGUUAAUUUGAGUACAUUAUGCUAUAUUAAAAGCUCUCUUUAAUGGCUGAGGUUUCUUUAGCUCAUGCACUACAACUACACCAUCUGUGUCAAUACCUAUCAUUUUGUUUUGGCACAAAUGUUACCUGCUGAUAUCGAGCGAAGUCCUACUGAGACUAGACCAUUGACAUUAAUGGACAUUGAAAAUCACAGAUUGUCUGCGGACUUGAGCUGUAAUCCUACAUACACACUUGUGGUAACACAAUGAGGCUUGGUUUUUAGUAGAAAAAUAUACAGCUGCACUGUAAUGUGCAAUUCUGUGUUACAUCAGUCCAUGUUCUUAAAAUUAUUGCGCAAGAGCCCAUAAGAGUCUGGGGUCUGUUUCCUGGUUCUUUUUGACGACUCUGCUGUGUUGUCAAAAUAAAAGUUUCAAUAGCCUCCAGUCCAGUAACCAUUUGACACAACCGUUCUCUCUCUGACUCCUGCAGCAUCCAGGAAAAGAGUAUGAUAGCAGGUUUUCUAAUGUAUCUAUCCAAGAACAAUUUAUACAUUGAACCAUGCAGUAGGUAAGC